CCUGAGGCGGUGGGGCGGGAGCGGGAGCGGGAUCGGAUCCGCGCGUCCUGCCGGAGGUGCAGGGGGAGCCGCGGCGAGUGAAUGGGAACUGCCAUCGUGUUUUUGUGAAGUAAUUACUGAGUUCUGAAGAGAGUGUUUGAGGCUGUGCUACUCUUCUCAGGAGAAAAAAGGAUAAAAAAAUCAUUCUUCUAGAAGAAAAUGUAAUUUGAAAGAUACCAGGGACACUGGGCCCUAUUCUGCAUAGACUGUAGCAGGGUCAAGUUUCAUUAAGUAAGGUAAGGGUUACUUCAGAAUAUGUGAUUUUUCCAUGUUCUCUAAGCCCUUGGGGUAUUGUCAGAUCAUAUGUUUAAACAGUUCUGCCUGGAGAGGAAAAAAAGUCUUUCCAAUUCCAAGAUGUUGUUGCAAUUGCUUGUCUUCAGGAGCAGUGCUUUUUCACUGAGUGAUUCCCUCAGUGCUCUGCAUAAUUUGUCAAGAGUUAAGGAAAACACCCUGGUAGGAAGGAGAGCCAUAAAGGUGGAGAAGAACCAGAGAAAAGGAUGUAAACCAAUAAGAAUGGAUGUCUGCAACAGAAAAAGAAAAGAAAGAGAGGUCUGAUUCAUACAGACAACUUCUGUGGUUGAAUUGAACUUUCAGGGUGAAACUCAAUGUGAAGUAAAAUGAAAACAAAAGAGAAGAAUUUAGUGAGUAUAAAAUUAGAAAUAAUACAAUGGCUAACAUUACAUAAUA